AUGUUGCAUGAACUUCAUAGUAUAAUUCUAGUACCAACUUACUUAUAAUACUACUAUGUAAUUCGUGCAUUACUGCUAGCCAACAUGUAUAAUAUAUA
rnacentral:ncRNA from 1 species